CCAUGUAUUAACCGAGGGAAAUUAGAGGGCAUCUGGUCCCACGGCGUUAGAAACAAGUUAUCUUUCAAGUUAUCUUUCUCAUUGCCUCCGGCCCUUUAAUUCCAUUUCAUACCUGUCAAGACUUUCUGUAUUUGUAUCAUCAUCGUUUGAGGUUUUAUUAUUUUUGUCAUUUUUGUAGACAUCAUGAAGUCGUUGUAGUAUAGUGGUAAGUAUUCCCGCCUGUCACGCGGGUGACCCGGGUUCGAUCCCCGGCAGCGGCGUCCUUUUUUGCACCCCGGACACAAGGUCUUCUUCUGUGUGAAAAUGGAGUUUCUGAUGGUAGCUAUCACAUGGUCGUUGUAGUAUAGUGAACUUUUUCCUUAGUGACGUUGGAAUUGAGUUGCAAGAAAUCAGAUCAAGUUUGCAAAUGGAAACAGAGAAGUGGCAGCAAGUAGAAGAAGCAACGGAUAUGCAAAGCCAUUGGGUGAGGAAAAAGCAACAUUUGUUUUAAUGUCGGCUGAGUCUUUUAGCAGAUCCUAUUGGUCUACUGGUGCAAGUGAUCAUGUAGCACUGCUUUGCCAAUAAGUCAAUCUAUUUGGAUAAGUGGCCAGCUCUAUUUGGGGAAGUAUUUGCUAAGACCGAGGCUGGGAGCGCCCAAUUGGAGGCCAAAAACUUAUAAUUUUCUUGAUUAUGGAACAAAACAUAUCAGAACUGGAGAAAGCUUGAAGGCAUUCAAUUUUCAGCCCUCAUCAGAGGGUUCUUCAUAACUGUAUACAAGUCAUAAACAAGGAACACAACAAAGCGCAGAAUGCAUCCGACUCCUCCAACAACUACAAGAAGUCUGAUCCACAAACUGGAGAUAAAUGCCGGAAGAACAAUUGCAUCCCAGAUCCAAAACCACAGCCCAACAUAUACUGAUCCUGCAACAGCGCCUACAGUCACUUGGCCGAGAGUGUGAAAUCCCUGUGAAACCCUCAACCAUGCCUUCAAAUAUGUAAAUACAGUUUUCUUAUGGACUUAAAUAAGAAGAUGGAGAGAGAUGAUUACUUGACAGAAUAACAACGAAGGAAAGGAAGAAUAAUGACUGUGCAUGUGAGGAUGGCAUUCCAGGGUCUGAUUUUGUGGCAGAUGAAGGUCGCUCCUGGUUAAGAAUCCUCUUCAGAGCAAUUGAAAGGCCAACAUUCAGGAUGGAACCCGCGCAUAUCCAAAUUGCUUUUGCAUCAUGCCGCAGAAGGAGAACCAGAGAAAAGAGUGCCACCAUGAGCCACUUGCUCUGGAGUCAACAUGAUUAUUCUUAAGAAUUCAUAUGAAAACACUUUUUAAACUUUUAAUUAAAGAACAGCACACAA